GUUACUUGCAGCGGAGAAUCUAACAAACAGGUUUCUGGCCUUUGCAAUGGAGAGAUUGCAUUUCACCAUUUUGAGAAUCCAACAAGGGUUUCACUGAAUGGGUCGAUGAUUACCAGCGACUUUAGUGUCAUCAUCUUUGGACACAUUUCCUUUAAUGACAUGUUUGCCUGCCUGCAACUUCAUGCCAGCACUAACAUCCAGCCUCAUUUGGAAAUUGACUUCCAGCAUUCCUUGCCUCAGCUUCAAUCUCUGGGUAUUUCCAAAGAGAAUCAAAUGAAAGUGUCAGCUAUCAGAAGUGACAAAUAUAAGGGGAUGCUUGAUGUCAUCUUCGGGCCUUGCAGUUUCAAAGCUGAUGGAGAAGUGAGCCUGAAUGCAAUGAAACAGAAAUAGAAUUACUUACUUUUACAAACAAGUGUGUCAGCCUAGAGGUAAGCAUCAAUUGUUUUCUGUAUGGUGUUAUAACCGUUCUAUUUCAAACUAUCAGGAAUUACAGAGAACUCUCUCCUGAUACAGGAGUAUCUUUAAUGACAGUUUUGGUCAUUAAAGUAGUUCUGGUACAGCACCGAGUGUGAGUGCUUGCAGAGGGAGUGUAUUUAAAGUUGAGAAUUUAGGGUAGUACAAUGGCAGAUGUUAUUGCUGUUGCAAUAAAAUAGUUGCUUAAUUGUAGCUUUUUAAUUAGAAUAAACUCUUGUUUUGAAAUCUAAUGAAAAUCGUGUACUUAAAAUUCUGGAGGAUUUCUUUGGGGUUAUGAACUUUUCCUUCUACAGUAUUUCUUAAAAGGAUGUUUUAGCUUUAUUUUUUUUUUUUUCCAUUCUGUUUAUUUUGGGGGUAAUUUCUGAUUUCUCUGUGAAAACAGCUGUCUUGUAUGGUCCUUUCCAAAAGCAUAUCGGUUCAGAAAGAAGAAAUGCUUUCUGAUUAAUUAGUAGGACAGUUUUUUUAAUUUAUUUGCUUUAAAUAAUGUCAUCUUUUCUGUUGCAGAGAAUGGGACUGCCACAUGCUGUAGCCUUUGGGGGCUCAUUUCAAAAGAACACCUGCAAUAUUGACUUGUUGAUGAACCUCCAGUAUGAUGGCAAAACAGUUGAUGUGCAGAUGGAUACUUCCUGCAAAAACAAAUAUGCCUUCCAAGGGAUGCUCAGGCUUUCAGUUCCCUGGACGAGUCAACUUGGGCUGCCUUUUGAAAACUCUGUCCUGUUCUCUGCUUCCACAGAGUCCACCACUGGGGGCAUUUUGUUGCUGCAGGCUGGCAAAUGCAAACUUAAGGCUAGAGGAGAUCUCUGUAUACAGAAUAAAGCUGAAUGGACACUGGAAACAGAAUGUCAGCUUCUGCAGGAUCUUGGAGCACCAGUAAAAAUUGAUGGUUCGGGCUAUAUUUUAAUGGAUAAAAUGAACCUAGAUUCACAGACCUUCAUCAUUGUUGAUGAAAGUAAAUUACAAGUACUCCUUAUACUAAACAUCACUGAUAUUAGAGAAGAACUGAGCCUUGUCCAGAAGUUGGGUGUAGUGUCUCUGAACUACAAACUUACUCAUAACAUAGAGGCACUGAAGGCUUUGCAGGUAGAAGAGAGGAUUGAGUUGCAGGUGAGUUAUCAGACACUGACAGAGGAGACACGCACCUAG
rnacentral:lncRNA from 1 species